UAUGACAGAAGUACUCUGGUGAAUAUCUAGACAUAGUGUGUUAGUUAAUGGUAGAUGACACUUUGUACCUCACAUUUAGGUUUACAUUUCAACACAGAAUACUUUUGUCACUCAGACUACUUCUGUAACUUGUUCACUUCAUUGCCACAAACUGUUUUUCAAGACUGUGGGAAGAGGAGCUGGUUCAUUUCAAUCAUCCGAAAACAUAUUUUCUGUGGACUAAUAGAUAUUGAUUGAGACUGGAUAUAGAUAAACUUUGCAAAAAUGGCCUGGGCAAUAUGGGUGAAUGCAACUAAAAUGGUAAUAUUCAGCAACAAAGGACUGAGUUUGACACAGAAGCACACUCCCGUGGUGAUAUAUUUUGCUUUCGAUGAGAUUAAACAGAUCAGAACACAGCUGGAUGGACUGAAACGGGGUUUGGGAAAUCAAUUUAAAAGAAGCUCCACGGAACAUGACCGGCCAAACAUGAAAAGUAUCUGAUGAGGAUAGCCAGGCAUUUCAGCUCUGCGUCCAUCUCCACACCCCUUCUUCUCAGUGGAAUAGCUCUUGAGGUCCUCACUGACAAAAUGUAGGCCUAUAUCGUAAUAAAGAGAGUGAGAUCCUAUUCUUCUGAGAGCAACAUCAACACUUCACAACAACAGAGUGAGAUCCUAUUCUUCUGAGAGCAAAAUGAAAGAAACAGAAAAACUUCUUCAUGGUCCUAGCAAGCUUCUUGGUGCACAGAGGCCUUUCACUCAAAGAUGAACAUGGCAGGACUGUAAUUGUUCUGUAGACGUCAAUUUCCAUCACCAUCGUUUUUCGUUUUGAUCU